rnacentral:rRNA from 1 species
GAGUUUGAUCCUGGCUCAGAACGAACGCUGGCGGCAGGCUUAACACAUGCAAGUCAAACGCAUCCUUCGGGGUGAGUGGCAGACGGGUGAGUAACGCGUGGGAACGUGCCCUUCAGUUCGGAAUAACCCAGGGAAACUUGGGCUAAUACCGGAUACGUGCGAGAGCAGAAAGAUUUAUCGCUGAAGGAUCGGCCCGCGUCUGAUUAGCUGGUUGGUGAGGUAAUGGCUCACCAAGGCGACGAUCAGUAGCUGGUCUGAGAGGAUGAUCAGCCACAUUGGGACUGAGACACGGCCCAAACUCCUACGGGAGGCAGCAGUGGGGAAUAUUGGACAAUGGGCGCAAGCCUGAUCCAGCCAUGCCGCGUGAGUGAUGAAGGCCUUAGGGCUGUAAAGCUCUUUCGUCCGGGACGAUAAUGACGGUACCGGAAGAAGAAGCCCCGGCUAACUUCGUGCCAGCAGCCGCCGU